AUUGAACGCUGGCGGCAGGCCAUACACAUGCAAGUCGAGCGAGCGGCGGACGGGUGAGUACUGUAUGGGGACUGCCCGAUAGAGGGGGCUAACUACUGGAUACGGUUGCUAAUACCGCAUACUAUCCGAUAACCCAUAUGGGAUUAGCUAGUAGGUGAGGUAAUGGCUCACCUAGGCGACGAUCCCUAGCUGGUCUGAGAGGAUGAUCAGCGACACUGGGACUGAGACACGGCCCAGACUCCUACGGAGGCAGGAGGGGGGAAGAUUGCACAAUGGGCGCAAGCCUGAUACAGCCAUGCGGAGUGUAUGAAGAAUGCCCUAGGGUUGUAAAGUACUUUCAGUCGGGAGGCGUUACCGACAGAAGAAGCACCGGCUAACUCCGUGCCAGCAGCCGCGGUAAUAC
rnacentral:rRNA from 1 species